CCGUGUACGUACAAGCAGUGGGAGCACAGGUUUACCUGUGUGACUGCGUACCUUUUGUAUAAUGGGUCAGCGACUUAUAUUCUGUAGCAAGGUUAACCGAAUAGGGGAGCCGGAGGGAAACCGAGUCUUAAUUGGGCGUUAAGUUGCAGGGUAUAGACCCGAAACCCGGUGAUCUAGCCAUGGGCAGGUUGAAGGUUGGGUAACACUAACUGGAGGACCGAACCGACUAAUGUUGAAAAAUUAGCGGAUGAUCUGUGGCUGGGGGUGAAAGGCCAAUCAAACCGGGAGAUAGCUGGUUCUCCCCGAAAGCUAUUUAGGUAGCGCCUCGUGAAUUCAUCUCCGGGGGUAGAGCACUGUUUCGGCUAGGGGGCCAUCCCGGCUUACCAACCCGAUGCAAACUGCGAAUACCGGAGAAUGUUAUCACGGGAGACACACGGCGGGUGCUAACGUCCGUCGUGAAGAGGGAAACAACCCAGACCGCCAGCUAAGGUCCCAAAGUCAUGGUUAAGUGGGAAACGAUGUGGGAAGGCCCAGACAGCCAGGAUGUUGGCUUAGAAGCAGCCAUCAUUUAAAGAAAGCGUAAUAGCUCACUGGUCGAGUCGGCCUGCGCGGAAGAUGUAACGGGGCUAAACCAUGCACCGAAGCUGCGGCAGCGAACGUAUCACCCAAGACAACUUUACGGAGUUGACGAUUGACGGAGCGAAGCGACGUCAAAGCGUUCAUUAAAGUCGAGUUGGCUUAGGGAUACGUUCGUUGGGUAGGGGAGCGUUCUGUAAGCCUGUGAAGGUGUGUCGUGAGGCAUGCUGGAGGUAUCAGAAGUGCGAAUGCUGACAUAAGUAACGAUAAAGCGGGUGAAAAGCCCGCUCGCCGGAAGACCAAGGGUUCCUGUCCAACGUUAAU
rnacentral:rRNA from 1 species